CGGUUGUGGUCCAGCAACAACCUUUCAUCUUGGUCACUCGUCCAGGAUUCUUCAGGACAAGCUCUACACAUCCAACAAUAUGGAGUAGGAAAUGGCAACCCACUCCAAUUUUCCACCUGGAAAAUCUCAUGGACAGAGGAGCCUGGUGGUCUACACUUCAGGGGUUGCAAAGAUUUGACAAGACUGAGCAAACAUACACACUUCUAACCUAGGCAGACACACACAUGAAGGCGACAGAACCUGAGACGUGGAGCAGUUGGAAGAGGAGGCACAAGUCAUCCACAGACGAGGAGAGAAUGGUCCAUGCAUCUCCUCAGUGGCCCUGUCCAGGGCAGGAAUGAGGAAAGAAUGGCCGAUGACAACUCAAGACAGUGGGUCCACUAAUCUGGAAUGAUAUCAGGAGACAUAAACAAGCUCACUAUU